AGUCGAACGGCAGCAUAGAGAGCUUGCUCUCUGAUGGCGAGUGGCGAACGGGUGAGUAAUAUAUCGGAACGUGCCCAGUAAUGGGGAAUAACUAGCCGAAAGGUUAGCUAAUACCGCAUACGACCUACGGGUGAAAGCAGGGGAUCUUAGGACCUUGCGUUAUUGGAGCGGCCGAUAUCUGAUUAGGUAGUUGGUAGGGUAAAGGCCUACCAAGCCGACGAUCAGUAGCUGGUCUGAGAGGACGAUCAGCCACACUGGAACUGAGACACGGUCCAGACUCCUACGGGAGGCAGCAGUGGGGAAUUUUGGACAAUGGGGGAAACCCUGAUCCAGCCAUUCCGCGUGAGUGAAGAAGGCCUUCGGGUUGUAAAGCUCUUUCGUGAGGGAAGAAAUUUUAUUGUCGAAUAAACAGUAAAGAUGACGGUACCUUAAGAAGAAGCACCGGCUAACUACGUGCCAGCAGCCGCGGUAAUACGUAGGGUGCGAGCGUUAAUCGGAAUUACUGGGCGUAAAGCGUGCGCAGGCGGUCUUAUAAGUCAGAUGUGAAAUCCCCGAGCUCAACUUGGGAACUGCGUUUGAAACUGUAAGACUAGAGUGUGUCAGAGGGAGGUAGAAUUCCACGUGUAGCAGUGAAAUGCGUAGAGAUGUGGAGGAAUACCAAUGGCGAAGGCAGCCUCCUGGGAUAACACUGACGCUCAUGCACGAAAGCGUGGGGAGCAAACAGGAUUAGAUACCCUGGUAGUCCACGCCCUAAACGAUGUCUACUAGUUGUUGGUGGAGUAAAAUCCAUGAGUAACGCAGCUAACGCGUGAAGUAGACCGCCUGGGGAGUACGGUCGCAAGA
rnacentral:rRNA from 1 species